rnacentral:rRNA from 1 species
UCAAGAAACUUCCACAAUGGGCGAAAGCCUGAUGGAGCGACGUCGCGUGAUGGACGAAGUGCUUCGGCACGUAAACAUCUUUUAUGUGGGAUGAAAUUAUUGACAGUACCACAUGAAUAAGGGGCUCCUAACUCUGUGCCAGCAGGAGCGGUAAUACAGAGGCCCCAAGCGUUAUCCGGAAUCACUGGGCGUAAAGGGUGUCGAGGCGGUUGUAUUAGUCGUUCGUAAAAUCUACGAGCUUAACUUGUAGGCGGCGAACGAAACGGUACGACUUGAGGUUUGGAGAGGUGCGUGGAACUCAUGGUGUAGCGGUGAAAUGCGUAGAUAUUAUCCAGAACACCAAUUGCGUAGGCAAGUUACUAAGUCAUAACUGACGCUGAGGCACGAAAGUGUGGGUAUCAAACAGGAUUAGAUACCCCCGUAGUCCCUGAGCGGGCUGGCAAGGCGCAU